UUCUCUUAAUCCAAAUUAAUCCUGUGUUACAUUUAGAAAAAAACACAUUUCUGUGUCAUGUAAGGAUAUGCUUCCCUUGGAUAUUUGUGUCUUUCAGAGGAAGGAUAUUCAAGGAAGCAGAAUUCAAGACCGCUGUAUGGAAAUCAACUUUAAUUAUCAUUUUUCAUACAGGAGGAAUUUGAAAUUGUAGAGGUUUUGUGGUGGCACCCCUGUGGCAGGGAAUAAGAAGUUGCUCUUUGCUGCCAUCAUUUUAAGGAAUAGAAAAUGAAAGCAGCAAAGCUGUAUCGGGGAAUAACAAGUUGCUUUUUGCUGCCAUCUUUUUAGGGAAUGGAAAAUGAAAGCAGCAAAAUUGUAUCAGGGAAUAACAAGUUGCUUUUUGCUGCCAUCAUCUUAGGGAAUGGAAAGUGAAAGCAGCAUUGACUGGAAGUGUUGCAGCUGAAUUCCCAAGGGAAGGUUUUUGUGGCACAGAGAACCCGAGCCAAGAAUUCCAGCUGCUCCCAGCCUUGCCUUUGAAGUGCUCCACUCACCCUAAACUCCUUUAGGGGAUGCUUUGAUGGAUGGUGCUGAGGUCACCCUGGGUUUGCAGAUGAGGCUCUGUUCAGCCUGGGCAUCUUUGCUGAGGGAUAAAAAUCUGUGCAGUUUGGUGACAGGAUUAACUCACCUCACUGGAUGCUGGAACCCCAGGGCUCCUUUUGAUAUCCAAUUUAUCCUUUCACCAUCCAUUUCUGGCUGGAAAGAGACACAUUUAUUAAUUAGAAUGGACUCAAAAUGAAGAUUUCACUUAUUUUCUUUAGGGAACUGGAGAAUUCCACAGCAAUGUUGCUUUGUUUGCUUUUUCCUCUGAGUGGAAUUCUUGACACCAUCACUGUGGGUCUGUCCUCUUGUAAAAAUAAAACCUCAGGACCUCUG